rnacentral:lncRNA from 1 species
UUUUUGCCUUUCCUAUUUCAGUGAAAUAAUUUGUCAUAUGGUAACUUUUCUCAUCCAUUUUUUUAAAUUUUUUUUUAACAUAAGUUUAAGCUAUUUGUACAUUCUGCCUUACAUAUCUCUUAACAUAUUAGUUAUGGGGCAAUUUGUUAAUGGCUGGAUUAAAGAUGUGAAAGAUGGUGUGAUAACUUGCCAAAUGUAAAUUCUGCAAGUCAAGAUAUACAUGUAGUAAGAUUGUUUUACAUAUCCUCAAUAAAAGUAACGUGUUGUUUACUUGUUUAUGAGCCUAGCUAUUUAGAGUUUAUCUGGAUGAGGGCCAGAACCAUUUGUAUUUUUCCUACAAUUAAGAAUUCUAUUUCACGUGACUUGUAAACCCUUGAAAGUGUAGAGACAAACUACAAAUGUGCCUACAUUGAUUCUCUCUAUUGCUCAUGAAGAGUGAUUGAGAAAAUAUUGCAUCCUCUAGCCGUCACCCGUUAUGAAAAUGAAGAAAAAAUUUGGGUUUACAUAUAAUAUGUUUUAUUAGAGAGUGUGUGGUUGAUAAAAAAAAAAGAAAAAUGUAUUUUGAAAUUAAUGAAGCCUAGAAAGUUGCUAAAAUAUUUUUCAAUUAGUAAUAAAAUUAAAUGUUAAAUACAAAGAGUUUGUUGGAGUAUUUAAAAAGUUUUACUAUCUAAAUUUAUAGAAGCUCUCUAAAUUGUAUAUACUCUUUAAAAAUGAAGUUCUAUUGGAGAUGUUCUAAGACAUUAAGCCUUUGUUUGGUGAAAAUUAAAAUUAAAUUUUUAGUAGAUUUUGAUAAAAGUUGAUAAAUAUGUGGCUGAAUGUUAUGGGCCUGUUAAAUAUGGCAUUGAAAUUAAUUGUCAACUUUGACUUAGACUAAAAUCUUGAUUUUAAUUUCCACCAAGCAGAUUUAUUUAUUUAUUUUUGGUUGAAUAUUGAAUAAAAAUUGGGACUUUGGAAUUUUCUCAGUCUUUAAUAUUGAUUUAUAACCAUAUUAUGUACUGGAAACGUUUCACCAUACUUUGUCUUCCCCAUUGUCCUUCAGUUAAAAUGGAGUUGAAACAUAAGUUCCAUGUUGACUUUCUUUGUCGCAUUUGGGUAAAUCUAAGAAUUUGUUUUGAACUGCUGUAGUGUGGAAAUUUACUGUCAUAUCAUUUACUGAUAUUAGAGUCUCUAUGUCCAAGUCGAUAUAUCAUAGUACUAUUUGUUUUGGUAGAGCAUCUACCCUUUUACCUCUCACGAGUUUGUGUCACAUCCUCUAGAAUUCGAACUCAAGACUUCUACCUUAUGAAAACUUCAGUUAAAUCCUAAUGAUCUAAUGGGUUAAGCAUAGAGGUUCCAGUCAUUAUCAUAUCUAUAUAUUGGUAGUAUGAAGCUGUAUGCAUAAUUUUGUUUCUCACGUUUCUAUUUUCUUAACAAAACAUGCCUUAUUGAGUAAAUUCAAGACAGGAUCCCAGUGUACCAUUUGCAUCUUAUGGUUUUAAUGGACAGGAAGACUUUUGUGUGAUAUUGUGUCAAUCACCAGUACAAUAUGAGCCAUGCCAUAUUGCGAGGCAAAGAAUUCAAAAGAUUCUGCUCUGUGUAGCCUGCAUCUAGGCAAACAACCUUGCAUGCCCUAUAUUCAUUUAAACCAGCAACUACUAUACCCAAUCUUCCUUUUCCUUGUAAUUCAUGAUCAAAGGGCUGCUAUGGAGUGUGAUGAUCAAAUCAUUUGAAUUUCUACCUUUAAUUAUUUCAUGUCGUCAAGAAAAUCAUGGCUUCCCAUGUCUAGAAUUACCUUUGCCUCUAUAAUUAGAAUAUUUUUGGAAACUUGAACCGGAUUUAGUAGUGAAUCAAAUCAUGGUAUACAUAUAUGUACGCAUGAAUUUUGUGUGAAACUUUAUUCGUAAAUGAAUCAAAGGGAACCUGAUUUCCGGCAUGAACAACAAAUGCAAGUGAUAAGACGAUGCCUCUAGCCGACGGAAUUGGAAAGACAAAAUGGAUAAGCAGCAAGCCAAAGAGGGGUUGUGCUCAGUUUCAAUCCUGCUACCCACGAAUUAUUAAAUUGUUGCCUUUUGGCUUGCUUUUUCUGUGCUCUUAUUUCAUGUACUACUGAUAUUAAGGCCUGUGUGUUAAUUACACAGAUUAUGCUGCUUUGUUAGAUGAAUUCCUGUGUAACGGAAAAUGAUUUGAUGGAAAAGAUAACUGUGUUUUAAACAGUUCAAUAAUAGAAAUGCAGUAUUAUGUCAACUAUUAUAUUAAUAAUUCUGGCACUGUAGCAUGAUUGUAAUAACUUAGUUGACUUUUGCCAUGACUCUUUUGUAAGAGAGAUCCGGAAGCUAAAUCACAAGAGAG